AUUGAACGCUGGCGGCAGGCCUAACACAUGCAAGUCGAGCGGAGCGGCGGACGGGUGAGUAAUGUCUGGGCAACUGCCUGAUGGCGGGGGAUAACUACUGGAAACGGUAGCUAAUACCGCAUCCUAUCAGAUGAGCCUAGGCCGGAUUAGCUAGAUGGUGGGGUAAAGGCCUACCAAGGCGACGAUCCGUAACUGGUCUGAGAGGAUGAUCAGUCACACUGGAACUGAGACACGGUCCAGACUCCUACGGGAGGCAGCAGUGGGGAAUAUUGGACAAUGGGCGAAAGCCUGAUCCAGCCAUGCCGCGUGUGUGAAGAAGGUCUUCGGAUUGUAAAGCACUUUAAGUUGGGAGGCGUUACCAACAGAAUAAGCACCGGCUAACUUCGUGCCAGCCGCCGCGGUAAUAC
rnacentral:rRNA from 1 species